AGUGGCAGACGGGUGAGUAAUGUAUAGGAAUCUACCUAGUAGUACGGAAUAAUUGUUGGAAACGGCAACUAAUACCGUAUACGCCCUACGGGGGAAAAAUUUAUUGCUAUUAGAUGAGCCUAUAUUAGAUUAGUUAGUUGGUGAGGUAAAGGCUUACCAAGACAAUGAUCUAUAGCUGAUCUGAGAGGAUGAUCAGCCACACUGGAACUGAGAUACGGUCCAGACUCCUACGGGAGGCAGCAGUGGGGAAUAUUGGACAAUGGGCGAAAGCCUGAUCCAGCCAUGCCGCAUGAGUGAAGAAGGCCUUCGGGUUGUAAAGCUCUUUUAGUGAGGAAGAUAAUGACGGUACUCACAGAAGAAGUCCUGGCUAACUCCGUGCCAGCAGCCGCGGUAAUACGGAGAGGGCUAGCGUUAUUCGGAAUCAUUGGGCGUAAAGGGCGCGUAGGCGGGUUAGUAAGUUAAAAGUGAAAUCCCAAGGCUCAACCUUGGAACUGCUUUUAAAACUGCUAGUCUAGAGAUUGAAAGAGGAUAGAGGAAUUCCUAGUGUAGAGAUGAAAUUCGUAAAUAUUAGGAGGAACACCANNGGCGAAGGCGUCUAUCUGGUUCAAAUCUGACGCU
rnacentral:rRNA from 1 species